rnacentral:lncRNA from 1 species
GAGACACACUUGUUUCAAUUAUUUAUUUAACUUUGUCUUUCGUAUUUAUAGGUAAAUUGAGAGGGCACACGAUUUCUCAUCUCUGACGAAAGAAUGGAUAAAGGCCAGUAUGUUAAACUAACAGUUGCUAUUAUCAUAACAGGGAUGUGUUUCAUGAUGUAUUGUGGAGUAUUCAAUAAUAUAAUUGAAUUAAAAUGGAACUUUAACACCACGUUGAUUACAUUGAAGUUGAACACACAAUUGGUUGAAAUGAAGUUGAAUACAGAACCGUUCCAUUCGUGCACUGGCCUUAAUUGUACAAACUUUUUUAAAUCCUAUUUUUGGAAGAAAAACUAUAAAUCAGUGGUUUUUCUAGGUGAUUCAUGUAUGUAUCGGUUGUUUUUGGCUAUAUUGGGAAAAAAAAGACCAUGCAAAGUUCAAAAACAGGCUGGUCGAUGUAACCUCAUCUCGUAUUUGGGUCAACAAAGACUUUCUAACUGGACCAAACCAUCUAGUGCAGAAGGACCUGUUGGGUAUGGAUUAACACACCCAUUUUGUACAGAUUGUUCUGGAUGUAACAGUGCACUUUUUAGUUGUGGAGAAAUCAAAACUGAAUAUAUCUCAGUUGAAUAUGCACGAGAUGUUGAAAUCCAGUCAACAAUCGGGAAUACUACACAAGAAGCCGUUUCUCUGUACUUCAAUUCAAACUUUACAAAUGUAUGCGUGGUUAAUUCUGGUUUUCAUGACAUGGUUCUACCAGCCCUAACAGAUCAACUUUAUGUUAAGAACGUGCAAUUCUAUGUGCAACAUCUGGUCCACACAUGUCAGAAUGUAAUUUGGAUUUCCACGACAGCAGUUAGAGGUGACAAAGGAUUUCCUCAAAAUAAUCCCAGAAUUCAACUGUGGAAUAGAUUAAUUAAAGGAAUGUUACGUAAUAAGUUUCCAAAAGUAGGUUUUAUGGAUUUUUUCCCUAUUUCUAAUUCAACAAAAGCGCAUAGGGAUAAUGUUCACUUAACUGCAGCUUUGUAUAAGUUGUUAGCAGGUUUUUUUACUUGAUU